UUCAGAUAAAAAAUCGGCAGCUGGCAGCAGGAAGCGGCUGCCAUCGACAGCCGGAAGGCAGUUACUGGCAGCAGGAAGCGGCUGCCAUCGACAGCCGGAAGGUAGGAGGGACCUGCCACUCGGUAGCAGCCAAUCAGUAUCGACCAAUGUAGCAGCAACCAAUCAGAUGUAACUACGACAGACGCUAAACUCUUCAGUAAUGGCGGCGAUUGGUUGAGCGGUAAGUUUGGAAAUUUGUGAUCGGAGUAAUGAAUAAUUGUUGCGUUGUAAGUUUGAAUUUUUAAAUUGUUAUCUUAGUGAGCGACAAAGUGUAAAAGUGUGAAUUUGCCUACUUUAGUUUAAUUGUUCAAAUUAAUCUAAUUAGUGGUAGAAACGUAGUUUGUGGACCAUGUUACAUCAUAUAUAAUUGUUGCGCUUAGUAUGUUAGGGGGCUACCUUCAAAUAUUGCGUUUACAAACGAUACACGUUCAACACUAACCAUAUCUUUUUGUAUGUUUAAUUUUUCAGGAGAAUGUCUGAUAUCCAUUAACAAAUUGAUUCUUUUUUCAUCUAACAAUAACAAUUGACCAAACAGUUCUUUUAAGAACUACUCUUCUUUCUCUGUCUUCUUUCCCUUAUUUCUGUCUUCACCUUUUGUAUACCUGACUAUCGGUUAUGACAGCUCAAUUGCAAUAAAGAUGAUUCCAGGAUCUUGGAAGCUUGUUAAAAAUUUCUGCUGGCUUGACAGUGUAACAAAAUGGAGAACGAAGUCUGAGCCAUGCCAGGAUUUUUUCAAAAUGUACACACUGCAGCCCUGCAGACACUGCAAUGAGGUUUACAAAAACUGCUUACCAGGCUAUGUUGGAAGAGGAAAACGAGGAGAGAUGCAAGGCUUUUACUCAGAAAACACCCAUCCAGGCUUUUGCAGUGAUGAUUGCAAGAUGCUGGAGGAGUAACUCAGUAUAACUCAGUUCUGAUCUGAAAGUCUCGUAAAUCCCUCAGGAUUGUUGUUAGUGAUUCUGAUUUUUGAUUAACAUUUUUGUCUACUUGCUUACUGGAUGUAUUUUAUACCGUUUACAUUGUAUAACACUGACUUUGACAACAUACCAAGCCUUUUACAAAGUUAACCGCUACUUUAUUUAGAGAUAUAGAUAGAUAAACAGCUAUGUCUUUGUUUCCUGAAAAUAUAACACAGCAAAAUAUGAUUUUAAAAAAAGGUCAUUGAUGAAACCUGUCUCUUUUUGUCAUUUAGGCAGGCGUG